UUUUCAUUCAAUUAAUGCAUUGUUAAACAUUUGUUUUUCCAUUUGUUUUCACUUUUUGCUUUUUGCAUGAAAUCAGUGAUCACAAAGAACCCAUGAAAAACAAGAAAACUUUUUCAUCUGCAUAAAUGAUUUGCUUGUUUAAAAAUUUAAAAGCUUUUCAUUAUCCAGAAUCAUUAUGCAGGGAUUUCUAAACCCAUUGAACAUAAUGAUCCAACGCCAUCUCCCAAUCUUGAAUUAUUUGUAUUCGAAGCAGAGGAAGAUGAUGUUGAAGGGGAUUCCUGAUG
rnacentral:lncRNA from 1 species